GGCACUAUGGUUUAGCUGACUAAAGUGCCUGCAUUGUAAACAGGAGAUCCUAGGUUCAACUCCCAGUGGUGCCU
rnacentral:tRNA from 1 species